GCACAAAGUGUACAAAGAAGGAACUGAAGGCGGCAGGAGCAGGACGAACAUAAAGGACAUGCAGACGAAAUUUAUUCAUGCAAGUAAAUGCGGGAAAAAUGGAAAACGGCUGAGCUGGGAAAGGGGAAAGUACGAAAAUAAAGUAUCUGGGGAGCAUUGGUUGAUUUUAAUUACAACACUUUAAGCACUAAGUAGCUGCAAGUGGCCAGGAAAACUCUCUAAGCCCGGAAAAAUCACGCUCCCCUUACAACAAAAAAAAAAAACAAAGCAGCAGACGAAAGAAAAUUGCGUUGUCGACAGCAGUAACUUCAAGAUAUACGGCUGAGCAGGGAGUUUUCCUUGUUUUGCGUUAUGAAUCCUUAAUGUCUGACUCUGUACUUAUAAG